rnacentral:rRNA from 1 species
CGUGGGUAACCUGCCCAAGAGAUCGGGAUAACACCUGGAAACAGAUGCUAAUACCGGAUAACAACAGAUGAUGCCAAUCAACUGUUUAAAAGAUGGUUCUGCUAUCACUCUUGGAUGGACCCGCGGUGCAUUAGCUAGUUGGUAGGGUAACGGCCUACCAAGGCGAUGAUGCAUAGCCGAGUUGAGAGACUGAUCGGCCACAUUGGGACUGAGACACGGCCCAAACUCCUACGGGAGGCAGCAGCG